rnacentral:tRNA from 1 species
GCCCGGCUGGCUCAGUCAGUAGAGCAUGUGACUCUUGAUCUCAGGUUGGUGAGUUCAAGCCCCAUGUUGGGUG